rnacentral:rRNA from 1 species
AAAGGAACACUUUGUUUGGAUACUUGGUAAAUCCAACUAGUGGAAACACUAGAGUUGCGACGCCAGCAUCCGUUGGAUCACAGCUGAACGCCUCUAAGCUGGAAUCCAUGCUGGGUGUGCAGUGUUUGUAUCCGCCUUUGUGGUGACAUGAUAAAGCGUAGGCUCUGCUUACUUGCGUUGGAGUGGCUGCCACAAGCCUUCCUUCGGGUCACAAGGACCAACUGCAAGGCGACAAAGUCACAUGCAUAUGACUUGUCUGAAACCAGGUACUGUAAGUGCUGAGAGUAGCCAUUGUGCUAC